GAGCAUUGUGGCCGAGUGGUGAUGCUAGCGACUUUGAUUCGCCAGGUCGUGAGUUCGAGGCCCGCUACUCUCU